AUGAUGAGACCUAAAUAUCUGGGUGACAUGGGCUUUAGAGAUCUAGAGAUUUUUAAUUUGUCCUUCCUGGCCACGAAAGCAUGGAGGAUACUACAAGAGCCUAAUUCUUUGAGUGCACGAAUUCUCAAAUCAGUUUAUUUUCCCGUCACAUCUAUUUUGAAUGUAACUUUGGGCUCUCACCCUUCAUAGGUUUGGAGAUCAAUUAUUGAAGGAAGGGAUGUUCUAGUCCAAGGUCUUAUUAGGCGGAUUGGUGAUGGAACCAACACAGAAAUUUGGAAUCAUAACUUGUUACCAAGGGAAGAUUCUAUGAGGCCUAUAACAACGCCCAAUAAUAAUGACUUUAUUGUUUGGACCUCAUUGAUGAGACUAUAG
rnacentral:rRNA from 1 species